UACAGAGGGUGCAAGCGUUAAUCGGAAUUACUGGGCGUAAAGCGUGCGUAGACGGUCAUGUAAGUCGGGUGUGAAAGCCCCGGGCUCAACCUGGGAAUUGCAUUCGAGACUGCAUGGCUAGGAUGCGGAAGAGGGAAGCGGAAUUUCCGGUGUAGCGGUGAAAUGCGUAGAUAUCGGAAGGAACACCAGUGGCGAAGGCGGCUCACUGGCUCGGUACUGACGCUGAGGUGCGAAAGCGUGGGGAGCAAACAGG
rnacentral:rRNA from 1 species